AGCAGCCGCGGUAAUUCCAGCUCCAAUAGCGUAUAUUAAAGUUGUUGCAGUUAAAAAGCUCGUAGUUGAAUUUCGGGAUCAGUACGCUGGUCAUGCCUUUGGUAUGCACUGGUGUCACUGGUUUCUCCCUUCUGAAGAACCGUGAUGUCAUUAAUUUGGUGUCGCGGGGAAUCAGGACUGUUACUUUGAAAAAUUAGAGUGUUUAAAGCAGGCUCACGCUUGAAUACAUUAGCAUGGAAUAAUGAAAUAGGACGUUUGACCCUAUUUUGUUGGUUUCUAGGAUCGACGUAGUGAUUAAUAGGGAUAGUUGGGGGCAUUAGUAUUCAAUUGUCAGAGGUGAAAUUCUUGAAUUUAUUGAAGACUAACUACUGCGAAAGCAUUUGCCAAGGAUGUUUUCAUUAAUCAAGAACGAAAGUUAGGGGAUCGAAGACGAUCAGAUACCGUCGUAGUUCUGACCAUAAACGAUGUCGACUAGCGAUCCGCGGUCGUUGUUCAUAUGACCUCGCC
rnacentral:rRNA from 1 species